UACGUAGGGUGCGAGCGUUAAUCGGAAUUACUGGGCGUAAAGCGUGCGCAGGCGGUUUUGUAAGACAGGUGUGAAAUCCCCGGGCUCAACCUGGGAAUUGCAUUUGUGACUGCAAGGCUGGAGUGCGGCAGAGGGGGAUGGAAUUCCGCGUGUAGCAGUGAAAUGCGUAGAUAUGCGGAGGAACACCGAUGGCGAAGGCAAUCCCCUGGGCCUGCACUGACGCUCAUGCACGAAAGCGUGGGGAGCAAACAGG
rnacentral:rRNA from 1 species